AACGAGAUGAGGAGUGAGUGUGCUCCCACAGAUGCAAUGCUGUGCUUCCUGCUAUGCUGUUUGAAGAUGAACUUUGCACAGGAGAGUUCAACUCUGCAAUCAAUCUUUUUCAAGCCAUUUUGUGCAGGGUGAGUGACCAAAACCUGCACUGACCUCACCUUGUGAGGCUCAAGUGAACUUACUGAGGCUGUGUGGACCGGGGGUCGUUGCCCCAUCACUUACUGUUGAUCCAGCCUAGGGUGCAAUUUGAUAAUAGGAAAUAGCGUCGCUGAGCAGGACAUGCUGUUGUCUGGUAGGUUGCUGUCCUGGAAACGUAGUAGCAUACGUAAACUAAUAGGGUUGUGGUUAUGCAAAGUGUAGAUCAUGAUGUCAUCUCACUAGGGUUUCAUAAUGUCUCCUCAGGGAAUAAAUGAUUUGUUUGUUAAAGCUUAAGAUUUGUUUGUAAUGGAAAAACAAUAUGGUGCAUAUCUCUUCACAUGUGCAGAUUGUAAAUUAUUUCCAGUGAAAUGUGGGAUUCAGCCUGUGAGGUGAUGGGCAUUAUUGUGUCUAUUGAAGUCAGCAACUUACAUAAUCAGGCCCCAUUUGUGAACUUUCUUAAGAAUACACUUAUCUCCAGCCAAAGCUUCAACUCUGAACUGAACUUUCUUUUCACCCCAUACUGAGGAGUUAUAUGUUGGACUCACCCCAGGAGGGAGAAAUUGGAUGUCAUAUUUAAUCAAAACACACCUUUGACCAGCAGCUCAGUGUGAUGGGAUGUCACAAUUGCAGCUGAGGAAUUUAAACCCUUUAUCUAACCUCCAGUAUCACAAUUGCAGAUAUUGUGUACAGAUGUAUUCAGAUGGGAAAUGGCUUGUUAUUACUUGCCAUGACAAAAGAACCUUCAAUCAUGUAUUGUCCCACCCAUCAUGUGCUUGUUCAGUGUUUUUGUAUAAAAUGCAAAUAAA